rnacentral:rRNA from 1 species
UACGUAGGGUGCGAGCGUUAAUCGGAAUUACUGGGCGUAAAGCGUGCGCAGGCGGUUUUGUAAGCCAGAUGUGAAAUCCCCGGGCUUAACCUGGGAAUGGCAUUUGGGACUGCAAGGCUCGAGUGCGGCAGAGGAGACUGGAAUUCCUGGUGUAGCAGUGAAAUGCGUAGAUAUCAGGAGGAACACCGAUGGCGAAGGCAGGUCUCUGGGCAGACACUGACGCUCAUGCACGAAAGCGUGGGGAGCAAACAGG